rnacentral:rRNA from 1 species
GAUGAACGCUAGCUACAGGCUUAACACAUGCAAGUCGAGGGGCAGCAUUUUAGUUGCUGCAAACUAAAGAUGGCGACCGGCGCACGGGUGAGUAACACGUAUCCAACCUGCCGAUAACUCGGGGAUAGCCUUUCGAAAGAAAGAUUAAUAUCCGAUAGUAUAUUAAAACCGCAUGGUUUUACUAUUAAAGAAUUUCGGUUAUCGAUGGGGAUGCGUUCCAUUAGUUUGUUGGCGGGGUAACGGCCCACCAAGACUACGAUGGAUAGGGGUUCUGAGAGGAAGGUCCCCCACAUUGGAACUGAGACACGGUCCAAACUCCUACGGGAGGCAGCAGUGAGGAAUAUUGGUCAAUGGACGAGAGUCUGAACCAGCCAAGUAGCGUGAAGGAUGACUGCCCUAUGGGUUGUAAACUUCUUUUAUAUGGAAAUAAAGUAUUCCACGUGUGGAAUUUUGUAUGUACCAUAUGAAUAAGGAUCGGCUAACUCCGUG